rnacentral:rRNA from 1 species
UACGUAGGAUCCAAGCGUUGUCCGGAUUUACUGGGUGUAAAGGGUGCGCAGGCGGACUUGUGCGUCAGAGGUUAAAUCCCUCGGCUUAACCGAGGAAAUGCCUUUGAUACGGCAAGUCUUGAGUACGAGAGAGGAUGGUAGAAUUCCUGGUGUAGCGGUGAAAUGCGUAGAUAUCAGGAGGAAUACCAGUGGCGAAGGCGGCCAUCUGUCUCGAAACUGACGCUCAGGCACGAAAGCGUGGGGAG